UUGUCGAGGUACGAGUCUGUGGUCUCGAAGGUGGAUGUGCCGCGGUAUUACUCUCCACACCAGACCGUAUGGCCACUCCCUGUCUCGGUGGUAACCCAGAAGAAUCUCUCCUCUGUAUAUCAGUGCGAGCUGGUGAAGAUGAUGCAACUACCGUGGCUCGUCCUAACCGUGGGCAAUUACUCCUAAUAUGAUCCCUCUGUCCACAUUGGAAACAUCUUGUUGGCUCUCUACAUAGCCCACUAUGAUAAUUCCCACAAUUUCUGCAUCUGUUAGAACCUCCGAAACUCUUCCCAGAACCAGUCAUAGCAGAUCUGCUAAACCUCGAAGGUCUCUGUUGUGAUGGUGGAAAUGGAGGUCGAG
rnacentral:lncRNA from 1 species